GGCAGCUGGAAAACCCCACUGGUCCGCUGCCGCUGGGAGGAGACGGCACCCAGAUUGGGAGGUUACCGUGCCUGCUCUCCCCGCCUACGAAUCCAACCCUGAGCUUCAUGGAUCUUUAGUUCUAAGGGUUUGGGAGCCGGAAGCAGCAUCGUGAGUGGGAGAAGAGGAAGGGGAGAGCCCAGGAAGUAUGAAGAGAAAUAAAGCCCAAACCCUUCUCUCUAUGACUCUACCGUGCUUAACCUGGGGACGAUUUGAAUCGGAUGAGACGCUGGAGUUUUGACUGGACUGAACUGAACCCCUGAAAAGGAGGCUGUUAGUUCUACUUGAAAGUGCCCAGAAAGCUAAGGUCACUUUCCAUGGGGCCGCCAGCGUCACCAUGGGAGGACGGAGGAGCUGACUUCGAGCACCUGCCAACCACAGAAUCAUCCAUACUCCGCAGCCGGGAUCCAGACUCUUCCCUAAGGCUCCCUUGGCUUUCUG